rnacentral:rRNA from 2 species
UAUUGGGCGUAAGCGAGUCGCAGGCGGUUUUCUUAAGUCUGAUGUGAAAGCCUUCGGCUUAACCGAAGAAGUGCAUCGGAAACUGGGAAACUUGAGUGCAGAAGAGGACAGUGGAACUCCAUGUGUAGCGGUGAAAUGCGUAGAUAUAUGGAAGAACACCAGUGGCGAAGGCGGCUGCCUGGUCUGUAACUGACGCUGAGGCUCGAAAGUAUGGGUAGCAAACAGGAUUAGAUACCCUGGUAGUCCAUACCGUAAACGAUGAAUGCUAGGUGUUGGAGGGUUUCCGCCCUUCAGUGCUGCAGCUAACGCAUUAAGCAUUCCGCCUGGGGAGUACGGCCGCAAGGCUGAAACUCAAAGGAAUUGACGGGGGCCCGCACAAGCGGUGGAGCAUGUGGUUUAAUUCGAAGCUACGCGAAGAACCUUACCAGGUCUUGACAUACUAUGCAAAUCUAAGAGAUUAGACGUUCCCUUCGGGGACAUGGAGACAGGUGGUGCAUGGUUGUCGUCAGCUCGUGUCGUGAGAUGUUGGGUUAAGUCCCGCAACGAGCGCAACCCUUAUUAUCAGUUGCCAGCAUUAAGUUGGGCACUCUGGUGAGACUGCCGGUGACAAACCGGAGGAAGGUGGGGAUGACGUCAAAUCAUCAUGCCCCUUAUGACCUGGGCUACACACGUGCUACAAUGGAUGGUACAACGAGUUGCGAACUCGCGAGAGUAAGCUAAUCUCUUAAAGCCAUUCUCAGUUCGGAUUGUAGGCUGCAACUCGCCUGCAUGAAGUCGGAAUCGCUAGUAAUCGCGGAUCAGCAUGCCGCGGUGAAUACGUU